rnacentral:tRNA from 1 species
AUUAAGGUGUCUGAAUAAAAGAGAUAAACUGUAAAUUUAUUUAUGAAUUAAAAUUCCCUUAAUA